AGGACUUCUCCCUUCCCUAAUCACCUAGUUGAUAUUUGUGAUACUAAUCAAGAUAAUAGGUGUCCCUGCUUGUCUCUCUUUUUUUCCAGACUGAUGAAAUGCAGUGCUCUCUUCCUGCUAAGGAAGACAAGUGGCAGGUGAUCACAGAGGGUGUGGAGCUGUUUUGCAAAAAGUCAACAGGCAGGACAAUUUGGAACACGUCAAGGCUCCUCAAGCAGCUGAGAACAUGCCACAAACACCCAUUGCUCUACAAGAGAUGCACCACAGGCCAGUAAAAGCUGCAGGUUUAAGGGCUGGCAUUCCUCAGGGGCUGCUGGAACAAGAUAGGAGCACUUAAUCCUAUCAGGAAGCUGGAAAUCUCACUUCCCAAAGAGCCAUCUUUACACCCAGACUGCUUUAGGAAAACUUUGAUAAAACAUUUGAUUGUGGCUGAC
rnacentral:lncRNA from 12 species